AAAUGUACCUUUCUUGGCUGAUCCCUUUCGCUGUAUGGCGUGCUCGUUUGGGUUGGGCGUCGGCUAAGAGUGCUCGGAGUGUGGAUUAACUCCAGUCUCCUAUCAGGUAAUCCCUAAGCUUAGAUGGUUUGGAGCUGCGAGGGACUCGGAGAUGGCCAUACUACUGUUUCUGUUUCUUUUAAUUGCAAUAAGUAGCCGAUUUAUUUCGUUAUAAGUUUUAUCUUAUUAAUAUUAUUAUUUGGUUUUGGGUUGUAAUAAGGCCAUUUUAAUUAUUUUUCUGGGAUUAUUUUAUUUUUAAUUUUAA